AACAUAUAGAUAGAAAUUUUAUGCCAGCUGAUUUACUAAUCCAAGACUUUACAUAUAAGGUCUUUCAUAUGAAUGUUGUUACUAAGGAUGUCCUAGAUUAGUGGGAGUCACUCCUUCUUUAUAUUUUAUGAUACUGUUUUGAUAUCGAUACAGACUUUAUGUUAAGAUUAUCUACAAAAAUAAAAUUUAUGAGGUUAUUAUUGUUAUAACCAUUUCUGUAUCGUUUGUGCAAAUAUUGAAUUUGCAAACUUUAGUUUGA
rnacentral:lncRNA from 1 species